GGCCAAUACAAAGCUACCAUGCAGUCGAGCGGUAACAGGGGUAGCUUGCUACCCGCUGACGAGCGGCGGACGGGUGAGUAAUGCAUGGGAAUCUGCCCGAUAGUGGGGGAUAACUCGGGGAAACCCGAGCUAAUACCGCAUACGUCCUACGGGAGAAAGCAGGGGAUCUUCGGACCUUGCGCUAUCGGAUGAGCCCAUGCCGGAUUAGCUUGUUGGUGAGGUAACGGCUCACCAAGGCUGCGAUCCGUAGCUGGUCUGAGAGGAUGAUCAGCCACACCGGGACUGAGACACGGCCCGGACUCCUACGGGAGGCAGCAGUGGGGAAUAUUGGACAAUGGGGGAAACCCUGAUCCAGCCAUGCCGCGUGUGUGAAGAAGGCCUUCGGGUUGUAAAGCACUUUCAGUGAGGAAGAAUGCCUUGUGGCCAAUACCCACGAGGAAGGACAUCACUCACAGAAGAAGCACCGGCUAACUCCGUGCCAGCAGCCGCGGUAAUACGGAGGGUGCAAGCGUUAAUCGGAAUUACUGGGCGUAAAGGGCGCGUAGGCGGCUCGUCAAGCCGGAUGUGAAAGCCCCGGGCUCAACCCGGGAACGGCAUUCGGAACUGGCUGGCUAGAGUGCAGGAGAGGAAGGUAGAAUUCCCGGUGUAGCGGUGAAAUGCGUAGAGAUCGGGAGGAAUACCAGUGGCGAAGGCGGCCUUCUGGACUGACACUGACGCUGAGGCGCGAAAGCGUGGGUAGCAAACAGGAUUAGAUACCCUGGUAGUCCACGCUGUAAACGAUGUCGACCAGCCGUUGGAUCCCUUGAGGAUUUAGUGGCGUAGUUAACGCAAUAAGUCGACCGCCUGGGGAGUACGGCCGCAAGGCUAAAACUCAAAUGAAUUGACGGGGGCCCGCACAAGCGGUGGAGCAUGUGGUUUAAUUCGAUGCAACGCGAAGAACCUUACCUGCUCUUGACAUCCUGCGAAUCUCCCAGAGAUGGGAGAGUGCCUUCGGGAGCGCAGAGACAGGUGCUGCAUGGCUGUCGUCAGCUCGUGUUGUGAAAUGUUGGGUUUAAGUCCCGUAACGAGCGCAAACCCUAUCCCUUUUUGCCAGCGGGUUCCGGGUCGGGAAACUUCAAGGAGAACUGCCCGGUGACAAACUGAAGAAAGGUGGGGGAACGACGUCAGGUUCAUUCAUUGUCUCCUUACCGAGUCAAGGACUAACACACACACGGUUGCCUUACACAAAAAUG
rnacentral:rRNA from 1 species